AUAAAAGUAGUAAUUGAUUUAUUUAAAUAAAUAAUUUAUAAUUUUAUUUUUAUUUUGAAAAAAUAAUUUAAGAAGUGAAUUAAUGGAGGAUUUAACACAAUAUGAGACAUUUGAUUUUCUCUCAAUUAAUUUUGCUGAUUUUUAAUUUAAUCAAUGUUAAAUGACACAUGUCAUUUUCUUAUGUGAUGAUUUGUCAUCCAUAUGGAGAAAGUUGGUCAAUUUUCAUAUAUAUAACUAGGUGAGUGCCCGCGCUAAGCGCGGGAUUUUGUUGUUGAUUUUCUUUAUUUUUU
rnacentral:sRNA from 1 species